rnacentral:rRNA from 1 species
CCUACGGGCGGCAGCAGUGAGGAAUAUUGGUCAAUGGACGAGAGUCUGAACCAGCCAAGUAGCGUGAAGGAUGACUGCCCUAUGGGUUGUAAACUUCUUUUAUAUGGGAAUAAAAUGUUCCACGUGUGGGAUUUUGUAUGUACCAUAUGAAUAAGGAUCGGCUAACUCCGUGCCAGCAGCCGCGGUAAUACGGAGGAUCCGAGCGUUAUCCGGAUUUAUUGGGUUUAAAGGGAGCGUAGGUGGAUUGUUAAGUCAGUUGUGAAAGUUUGCGGCUCAACCGUAAAAUUGCAGUUGAAACUGGCAGUCUUGAGUACAGUAGAGGUGGGCGGAAUUCGUGGUGUAGCGGUGAAAUGCUUAGAUAUCACGAAGAACUCCGAUUGCGAAGGCAGUUCACUGGACUGCAACUGACACUGAGGCUCGAAAGUGUGGGUAUCAAACAGGUUUAGAUACCCUUGUAGUC